ACCCCCACCAACUAGCCCAAAACAAAAUACAACAAACAACAUUAAUUAACCCAAAAACCAAAUAUACACAACAAAUCAAAUCAUUUUACCCCCUUAGUAUGGG
rnacentral:rRNA from 1 species